UAGCAGAAAAAGUCUUUAAAAACUUAAUUAAGUGACUGAAAUACACAGAAAACUUGCUCAAAAUAAUAACAUAAUUGUGUCUUGAGUUUUUCUUUUUUUUCUGAUUCUUAACCAGUUCUGAAAGUUAAUUUACAGGAAGAUGACAUUUACGUCUGUGACUUUAAUCUACUUAUUAACUAACUUGUAAUAACUAAUAUCCAUCUAAAAGUGAUAAACACAGUACUUACUCUACAUUCCAGUUGAAAAACCGUCUGUCCUGUUGAUUUAUCACAAUGAGAAUGGGAGAGUUUACAGUUUUUGCUCUUAGGUUUUUGUAUGGAUGAAUAUCACAGUGCCCCAUACCCCACCCCACACUGUGAUAAACCCUGUUACAAAAACCUCAGUGACCCACAGCUUCCUGCACUGGAAACGUAUCGUCAGCAGUGGACGUCCUAUUGGACUAACAAAUCCCUCUAUCGCUUUAACCGGGACUAAUUACCUGGACAAUUAGUAACCAACCCAUCUACGGGAUUGAGGGGCAAACAGGAGGAGUAUAAAAAAGAGGAAGCUGCUGACUUAUGGGAACACGGCCGGGACAACGAGACGGUGGCGAACGGACCGACCGACCGACCGACCGACCUCCGUCGUGAGGGGGCAUCGGCCACGACGUCACACCACGUUCUCUACAGUCCACACUGAACAGAGCACGGCCGGAUUGACUGCAAAUGGAUCCCAGCUGUCUGACAGCUCGUGACUGGACUUUCCUGGUGGACGUUUAACUUAUUGAAAGACUGCUUUUAAAAUAUAAAGUAUCUUCAAUGUUUUGAUACUAAAUAAAAGUAUUUUUAU